AUGGCGACCGGCGCACGGGUGAGUAACACGUAUCCAACCUGCCGAUAACUCGGGGAUAGCCUUUCGAAAGAAAGAUUAAUACCCGAUAGCAUAAUGAUUCCGCAUGGUUUCAUUAUUAAAGGAUUCCGGUAAAGGAUGGGGAUGCGUUCCAUUAGGUUGUUGGUGAGGUAACGGCUCACCAAGCCUUCGAUGGAUAGGGGUUCUGAGAGGAAGGUCCCCCACAUUGGAACUGAGACACGGUCCAA
rnacentral:rRNA from 1 species